rnacentral:sRNA from 2 species
UGACCACCUUUUCAAAGGUUAAAGGCCAUACGGACAGCCGGGUCAAAUGCCGA